rnacentral:lncRNA from 1 species
AGAUGAGGCAGCCUCAGCAAUCCUUUGGGAGAGCCCGUGUAAACCACAUCAACACCCAGGAAGCCCAGAAUGCACAAGGAGUAGUGCUUGGUGAGUUCCUAGUCAGCUCAGUUCUUGCAACAAUAUUGUUUGAUCCUGGAGCAUCACAUUCAUUCAUAUCAUCAAAUUUUGUGGAAAAACAUGAAAUACCUACAGUACUACUAAAGUUACCCCUAAUAACCCGAACACCUGGAGGUGACAUCAAGUGUCAACUAGGUUGUUCAAGGGUAAGGGUUUUUAAGUGGGGUAGAACUUCUAGUAGACCUAGUAGUACUUAAGUCCAAAGGAAUAGAUGUGAUCAUUGGAAUGGAUUGGUUAAACCAACAUGAUGACCUCACAAGAUGUGCAGCUAAGGUAGUAUACCUAACCAACAGUGAAGAUGUACCCGUAACCUGCCACACUCAGGGAACUAAGUUAGACCCAAUGGUUUAUAACUUGGAAGCUAAUACCAUAGAGGAAGUUCCUGUAGUAAGUGAAUACCUAGAUGUACUCCCGGAUGAGUUGCUUGGAAUGUCACCAGACAGAGACAUAGAAUUCAUCAUUGACCUUAUCCCUGGAACAUCUCCCAUAGCUAAGAGACCAUAUCGGAUGGCUGCAGUAGAACUUGUUGAGCUAAAGGAACAAUUAAGAGAACUUUAGAAGAAAGGAUUCAUCAGACCCAUCUCAUCUCCAUGAGGAUCACCAGUCCUCUUUGUAAAGAAGAAGGAUGGAAGUAUGAGAAUGUGUGUGGAUUAUCGAUGUUUGAAUGAUGUAACCAUCAAGAAAAAAUAUCCAUAACCCAGGAUAGAUGAUUUCUUUGAUUAGCUAAAAGGAGCCAAGUAUUUCUCCAAGAUUGAAUUGAGAUCAGGAUAUCAUCUACUCAAAAUCAAGGAAAAUGACACCCCAAAGAUGGCCUUUGUUACAAGAUAUGACAAUAUGAGUUUAUAGUGAUGUCUUUUGGAUUAACAAAUGCCCCUGCUUAUUUCAUGAACCUCAUGAAUAAAGUGUUCAUGGAGGAGUUAGACAAGUUUGUUGUAGUCUUCAUUGAUGAUGUACUCAUCUACUCCAAAAGUGCUCAAGAGCAUGAGCAUCACCUAAGAGUAGUUUUGGAAAAAUUAAGAGCACAUAAGCUUUAUGCCAAAUUCAGCAAGUGUGGAUUUUGGCUUGAAAAGGUAGCUUUUCUUGAUCACAUCUUGACUGCAGAAGGAGUAGUAGUUGAUCCUGAAAAGGUAGAAACAGUAUCUAAUUGGCAGUAACCCACUAAUCUGAGUGAGAUUCGAAGCUUCCUUAGAUUAGCCAGAUAUUAUCGAAGAUUUAUUGAAAGAUUUUUAAGAUAGCCAGACCUAUGACAGAACUACUCCAGAAGGAUAAAAAGUUUACUUGGACAAAGUCUUGUGAGAAGAGUUUCCCAGAACUGAAGAAGAGAUUAACAACUGCACCAGUAUUAACCUUACCAGAUAUCCAAAGGGAUUUUGUCAUAUAUUGUGAUGCCUCAAGACAAACUUUAGGAUGUGUUCUGAUGCAAGAUGGGAAGGUAGUAGCCUAUGCCUCUCUGCAGCUCAAACCCCAUGAGCAAAACUACCCUACCCAUGACUUUGAAUUAGCAGCCGUAGUGCAUGCUCUCAAGAUUUGGAGACACUACUUAAUUGGAAAUAAGUGUGAAAUAUAUACUAAUCAUUAGAGUUUGAAGUACAUUUUCACCCAAGCGGACCUGAACCUAAGACAAAAAGGAUGGUUAGAGCUAAUAAAGGAUUAUAACUUGGAAAUCCAUUAUCACCCAGGCAAAGCUAAUGUGGUAGCUGAUGCCUUAAGUAGAAAAUCAUAUGGUCAACACUUGGUGCCCAAGAAUGCUCACAUGCAAGAAGAAAUGGCACAAUUAAAUUUGCACAUAGUCCGUCAGCCCCACAACUGCAAACUAAGUUUGCAACCAACUCUAGAAGAGCAAAUAAGAUAUCAGAAGAAGGAUCAAGAUUUAACAAAGAUUUGUAACCAAACCGGAGAAAAUAAAGCCCCAAAUUUCUGAGUGGAUGAGAAAGGAACCUUGUGGUAUAAAAAUUAGAUUUGUGAACCAAAGGAAGGAAAAUUCCGACAUAUUAUAAUGGAUGAAGCCCAUAAUUCAGCAUAUUCCAUUCACCCUGGAGCCACCAAGAUGUACAUGGACCUAAAAGAAAAUAUUGGUGGAAUGGUAUGAAAGCUGACGUGGCACAAUUUGUAGCCCAAUGUGAUGUCUGUCAAAGAGUAAAAGCGGAACAUCAGAAGCCAGCUGGUUUACUUCAACCCUUACCUAUCCCAGUUUGGAAGUGGGAUGAAAUAGGCAUGGACUUUGUCAUUGGGUUACCCAGGACAAAGAAAGGAAAUGACUCCAUAUGGGUAAUAGUGGACCGACUCACCAAGGUCGCUCACUUUAUACCAAUACGCACGUGCUUUGGUGGAGAGAAGUUGGCACAACUCUACAUCGACAAUAUAGUGAAGCUGCAUGGAGUGCCCAGCAAAAUUGUUUUAGAUCGAGGAACUCAAUGCACAUCUAAAUUUUGGAAAAGUUUACAUAAGUCAAUGUGAAUUAUGUUGAAUUUUAGUUUAGCCUAUCACCCCAAAACUGAUUGUCAAACUAAAAGAGUAAAUCAAAUCAUGGAGAAUAUGUUGAAAGCAUGUGUACUUACCUAUGGUAAAGAUUAGGAGAAAAGCCUAUCUUAUGAAGAAUUCUCCUAUAAUAACAGUUAUCAGGCCAGCUUAGGCAUGUCACCAUUUGAGGCUCUUUAUGAAAGAAAGUGUAGAACUCCUCUAAUGUGGUCAGAAGUAGGAGAGCGUACUCUAAUCAGACCAGCUCUCAUAAAAGAGGCAGAAGACCGUGUGGCUAAAAUUAAAGAAAAGUUAAAAGCAGCUCAAUCCCGCUAGAAGAGUUAUUCAGACAAGCAAAGAUGAUAAUUAAAUUUUGAAGUUGGAGAUUAUGUUUAUCUUAAGGUCUCUCCAAUCCGAGGGACCCGAAGAUUUCAAGUUCGAGGAAAGCUAGCACCCCGAUAUAUUGGACCUUAUCAAGUGCUACAAAGGAUUUGAGCUGUAGCAUACCGUAUUCAGUUGCCUGAAGAAUUAUCAGAUAUACACCCAGUAUUCCAUGUCUCCCAACUAAAGAAAUGCUUGAGAGUUCUAUAAGAACAAGUGUCCACUAAUGUUAUAGACUUGCAAGAAGAUCUUAGGUACCAAGAAUUACCGAUCAAGAUUCUGGACACAGUUACAAAGCAAACAAGAAGCUCAACAGUCAAGUUAUGAUAUGUGCAAUGGAUCUGACACAGUGAAGCAGAAGCUACUUGGGAACGAGAAGAUGCUCUAAGAAAAGAGUUUUCCCAUCUAUUUAGGAACUAGCCGAAUCUCGAGGAUGAUAUUCAUUUUAAGUGGGGUAGGUUUAUGACAGCCUGAAAAAUUCAAACUAAAAAAUCACUCGAAUUCAGAAACUUCAAAACCUAUUAUCAAAAUCUAAUUUCAAAACAUUGCAAAAUUAUCAUUGAGCUCAAUUCAUUUUCCAUCCAUAAUCCAUUCCAAGCCUAAUCUCCCCUUAAUUCUAACCUUCCUAUUCUCCCUAAGGCAUCACAUCAACUUGGUAAUCCUUUCCUUCACGUGUGCUCCUGCAAGCUUGUCAUCCCCUUCCUAUGUCCUUAAGCAUGCACACAACAGAACACGCACAAAGCAGCACACAACAACAGCUCACACUGGCGCAACGUGCAAAGCUCCACACCCCAGGCCCCUUGUCAUGCUCGUCGUGCUCUGCUCGAGUGAUAGCCUAGCCCCACGAGGUAACCCACACUGUUGCCCAACACCAUGUCGUGCCGCCCCUCACCAUAACCCCACCUCAACCACGCUGCUGCUUGCCAGCCCUACCGCCUUGUAGCGCACGCCGUCAACGCCGCCGUCGCCUCAGCGCCACCGCCGCAUCAAGCCAAUGCCUGCUGCCGCACCACUGCAGGCACACAAUUCGCCUUGCUCCACCCACUCCUUGUUGCGCAUUCACUUCACUUGUGCUAUCGUCGCCUCAGCUGCACAGCCACGCACUCCGUCUGCUUCAGCAUGGUGCACCACGCCCGCUCCAGUCCAUCAACGUCUGCAUGGACGGCCGCAUGCAACAGCACCCUCCUCCGGCCUAUAAAAGGCGACGCCGAGCUGCUCUUCUCCACCAUCCCGAGCUCGCCGAGCUGCCCAACUCCGCCGCUCACCUUCUUCCUCCUUAAAUCGAGCUCUUUUACUCCUCCACACAAGAAUGCAGUGCUGCCUCGAUCUCCCUCUCCAAGACACCGCUGCUCAAGGUGAGCCUAUGCCGAGCUUACCCAUCCACUCCUCUCUCUCCUUGUGCCCUUGCAUUUGAAAACGGCAGCCAGAAUCGUCGUUCAGGCAGAGCUCCAGGGAGCUCUGGCCGCUGGCAUGGCGGACGAGCCCGAGCAGCAUGAGCUCCUGUACUCCCAUGUCUGUCUCACUCCCCACUCCGUUAUUUCUUCCUAGGCCCAAAACACUAACCAAACCUAUAGCCGACCGUGUGAGCCCAAAACACCACCGAGCCAUUCACGUGCAAAUAAAGGCCCGUGAAGCACCCACCCUUUUAUGUUAAUCUAUUUUUGGAAUUUAAUUAAUACCCAAUCUUUACACAGCCAUAUCUCAGCUAUCCAAACUCCGAUUCACUUGAUUCUUUUUUCUAAAUUCAUCUAAAAUCACAUUCCUAUUCCAGCAAUCCUUCUCUCCAUUUGAGCUCAUUUCAUUUUUUUGUGUUUUUUCUUGUUUGUGUUUGUUUGUUGUUGCGCCAUUGUUGCUAUAACCGAUGGAGUGACUGAGGUGGAGAACAACUUUGAAGGCUAGGACCGCGAGCUAGAGUACGAAGGCUAGGACCACGAGCUGGAGCCGAAAGAUCCGUACCACGAGCAGGAGCAUCCAGAAGGCUUUGAGGACGGCAAGUCCAACCUAUUACCUCUUGGUCAUAUUUAUGCCAGUUUUCAAACACAACCUGUAGAAGCCUUUUUAUAAAUUGCAUCUAGUUAUAUAUAUGCUCAGAUUAAUUUAUGACUAAUCUAGUUAAAACCUGGUUGGAUAGCCACUUCUUGAUUUGAUAUAUCUUGAUAAUACCUUAUUGACACAGGAUUUAUCAUUAGACAUGAUAUGCUCUGUUAACCGAUUACCUCGAUAUUAAUACGCUUAGAAACCGGUUACUCAACCUCAUUACUACUUAUUUUACAAAUGAAAUGGUUUACAAAAGAUAAAAUGUGUUGAGUGUGUUGGUGUGAGUAUGGAUUGGAAUUUCGAAAAAGUGAUAAAUAAAGAACUUGGUGUUGGUGAUUAUUUUAGAUGGGGCGGAUCAGGGUUCGUUGUGUGGGAAGCCUUGGAGUAUUGGCUCGUGCCUGUGUAGCUGAGUAUGGAAGAUAUCCGCCUUCUCUUGAUUAAGGACCGACUUGAUGUGUCAUCUUACCUAACCCAACUUUUCGUACAACCACUCGACAUUUGUGUGUGGCAAAGGCUUAGCAUAAAUCCCACUAACUAGUCUGAUAGUCGUCCGUAGGUAGGUGAGCAAUGGGAGGCCAAGGAGUAGGCAUAAGAAAAUACUGGAUUAGUGGCUCGGUUGAAGACCUCGUAGGGAGGUCAGGAACCCCUUGGUUAGCUCUCGUGGAUGACUUGGCAGGACUAUGCUAUGGUGGGUAAUGGCUUCAAUGGAUCUACACUGGCACUAAGGUGUUCGUGUUGCGGUACCCUACUUGUGGGUAAAGUGGACACCUCUGCAGAGUUAAAACCUAUUUGAAUAGCUGUGUCCACGAUCUUGGACGAGUUAUGACUUGAUCACAUAAAUAGCUAUUUGGGAAAGAUGGGCAAACCUUUUGGUGUAAAUUGGAUUUUGGAAAUAUCCGGCAAAUGUGCCGCGUGCUACCAUGGACGGAGUGUCGAGUAGUACUUAAAAUUUGGAUCCUUUGUGUAUGAUCACCCUACUCUUUCAUAACUACCUUUAUAAAACUAAACCUUGCAUGCGAACAAAAGAUUGCUUUCUGCAAAAUAAACCUUGACCUAUUCCUUGAAUUAUCCUUAUGCUUGUAUUUUUAUACCCCUUCUGUAGGAUGGGGUUGGAUUUGCUGAGUACGUAUGUACUCACCCUUACUUUGUUGAUAUAGAGGAAGUUCCAAACUACGUCGCUGGUGAAGCUUUCGAGUAGAAGGUCGCCUCCGCACCCAACUUACCUGUGGCGUUGGGCUCUUAAGGAUGUUUUCGCUGUCGUGUAGUGCUGCAUGCUGCUUAUGGAAUUGGAUGUCCAUAUGUUGCAUCUAGAGUUCUGUUUGUGUUGUACCUCUUUUAGGUUUGUGUUAUUCGAUUACUCCCUAGAGAGUUGU